rnacentral:lncRNA from 1 species
GAAUUGUACAACUUAAAGAGGCUGGUGACCAACAAGAUAGGAGGAGCCUGGGGCCCUAGAUGUCUUAGUGGAGCCGAGCUGCCUUCCUGCCUUCACCCAGCUAUCGAGAGCCUACGGUGUCUUAUGAGGCCGACUGUUGAUUAUGAAUGCAUGGUGCUGGACAUGCCAGGGAAACAGAGCUGACUGUUGAUUAUGAAUGCAUGGCGCUGGACAUGCCAGGGAAUACACAAAAGCCAGUUAUAGAGGGACUCCUGCUUCAGUUCUACAAUUAAGCAGCAAUUAGAGUUUGUCGUUAGUUUUUAAUUUUUUAAUAAGUCAUAGAUACACAUGCUUCAAAACUCAAAAUAGCAAAAAUGUAUGCUGUGAGACGUCUUUCUUUACCCUGUUUCCCUGCCUGGAUCCCAUCCCACCCUCAGUGGUCAGAUAAAUACUGUCAUUAGUUUUCUGUGGAUUCUUCAAAAAUUU